rnacentral:misc_RNA from 1 species
UAAGUUGCCAUGUUUUGUACUUGAUAAUUUACAAGAUGGAGACACUUUUUCUCACACCAACAAUACCUGUGUCUCACUAUUAUUAUUUUGUCCUUUGAGAAGAAUGUAGUACCAAACUUGGGGCUACAUUAAUCUUUUUAAAGGUUCUCGCAAACACAUUGCCAUAAACCUUGAUAAUGAUGAUAACUUCAAACUGGGACAGGUUCAGGAACGCUGCCAUUCUCGGAUGGAGUCAAACUAUCAUAGUAGUCCACCAAGACCUUCCAACCACCGGGGCACAUA